UUUCAAAGUGUUGAUUUCAGGUCAGGGCAGCUUCCCUGUUUUGUUAAUUAAAUUUGACACAUUGAAAUUGGCUAAGGGAAAUGACUGAAGAGUAUUACUCUAUUCAUACACUUCUUAGUCUAUACCA